rnacentral:rRNA from 1 species
AUUGAACGCUGGCGGCAGGUUUAACACAUGCAAGUCGAGCGGAGAUGAGGUGCUUGCACCUUAUCUUAGCGGCGGACGGGUGAGUAAUGCUUAGGAAUCUGCCUAUUAGUGGGGGACAACAUUCCGAAAGGAAUGCUAAUACCGCAUACGUCCUACGGGAGAAAGCAGGGGAUCUUCGGACCUUGCGCUAAUAGAUGAGCCUAAGUCGGAUUAGCUAGUUGGUGGGGUAAAGGCCUACCAAGGCGACGAUCUGUAGCGGGUCUGAGAGGAUGAUCCGCCACACUGGGACUGAGACACGGCCCAGAAUCCUACGGGAGGGAGCAGUGGGGAAUAUUGGACAAUGGGGGAAACCCUGAUCCAGCCAUGCCGCGUGUGUGAAGAAGGCCUUAUGGUUGUAAAGCACUUUAAGCGAGGAGGAGGCUACUGAGACUAAUACUCUUGGAUAGUGGACGUUACUCGCAGAAUAAGCACCGGCUAACUCUGUGCCAGCCGCCGCAGUAAGAC